CAGAGGUCCCAAGCGUUGUUCGGAUUCACUGGGCGUAAAGGGUGCGCAGGUGGCAUGGUAAGUUUGGUGUGAAAGCUUCGGGCUUAACCCGGAAAUGGCAUUGAAAACUACUGUGCUGGAGGAUCGGAGGGGGGACUGGAAUUCUUGGUGUAGCAGUGAAAUGCGUAGAUAUCAAGAGGAACACCAGUGGCGAAGGCGAGUCCCUGGACGAUACCUGACACUGAGGCACGAAAGCCAGGGGAGCAAACAGGA
rnacentral:rRNA from 1 species